rnacentral:rRNA from 1 species
GACGAACGCUGGCGGCGUGCUUAACACAUGCAAGUCGAACGAAGAGCGAUGGAAGCUUGCUUCUAUCACUCUUAGUGGCGAACGGGUGAGUAACGCGUAAUCAACCUGCCCUUCAGAGGGGGACAACAGUUGGAAACGACUGCUAAUACCGCAUACGAUCUAAUCUCGGCAUCGAGGAUAGAUGAAAGGUGGCCUCUACAUGUAAGCUAUCACUGAAGGAGGGGAUUGCGUCUGAUUAGCUAGUUGGAGGGGUAACGGCCCACCAAGGCGAUGAUCAGUAGCCGGUCUGAGAGGAUGAACGGCCACAUUGGGACUGAGACACGGCCCAGACUCCUACGGGAGGCAGCAGUGGGGAAUCUUCCGCAAUGGACGAAAGUCUGACGGAGCAACGCCGCGUGAGUGAUGACGGCCUUCGGGUUGUAAAGCUCUGUUAAUCGGGACGAAAGGCCUUCUUGCGAAUAGUGAGAAGGAUUGACGGUACCGGAAUAGAAAGCCACAGCUAACUACGUG